GUAUUUGUGAGGGCGAUCUGGCUGCGACAUCUGUCACCCCAUUGAUCACCAGGGUUGAUUUGGGUGAUCUGGCUGGCUAGGCGGGUGUCCUCUUCCUCCCUCACUUCUUCAUGUGAGUGCCUCUCGAAGCUUCCUGCUUGAUCGAAGAGUACGACCUUCCCCAUAGAGGCGUACCAUUCUUUGGUCAAGGGUAUAUGAGUAGCUGCGCUCCCCUGCUAGAACAAGCUCCCAAGGUCCAGAAGAUUAAAUCUAGCUUAGCUUCCAGCUUCUAGGCCUCCUCCUAGAUGAGGGGCCUCCUUG
rnacentral:snRNA from 1 species